CCUACGGGUGGCAGCAGUGAGGAAUAUUGGUCAAUGGACGAGAGUCUGAACCAGCCAAGUAGCGUGAAGGAUGACUGCCCUAUGGGUUGUAAACUUCUUUUAUCUGGGAAUAAACUGUUCCACGUGUGGGAUUUCGUAUGUACCACAUGAAAAAGGAUCGGCUAAACCCGUGCCAGCAGCCGCGGUAAUAAGGAGGAUUCGAGCGUUUUCCGGAUUUAUUGGGGUUAAAGGGAGCGUAGGUGGAUUGUUAAGUCAGUUGUGAAAGUUUGCGGCUCAAACGUAGAAUAGCAGUUGAAACUGGCAGUCUUGAGUACAGUAGAGGUAGGCGGAAUGCGUGGUGUAGCGGUGAAAUGCUUAGAUAUCACGAAGAACGCCGAUUGCGAAGGCAGCUCACUGGAGUGCAACUGACGCUGAGGCACGAAAGUGUGGGUAUCAAACAGGAUUAGAUACCCCAGUAGUC
rnacentral:rRNA from 1 species